rnacentral:rRNA from 1 species
GACGACCGCUGGCGGCGUGCUUAACCAAUGCAAUUCGAACGGUGAAGCGCUUUCCUUUUUGGUUGGUGUGGAUGAGUGGCGAACGGGUGAGUAACACGUGAGUAACCUGCCCCCUUCUUCUGGAUAACCGCAUGCAAGUGUGGCUACUACGGGAUAUUCUGCGCCUGCUGCUUGGUGGUUGUGGGAAAGCUUGUUCCUUUGGGUGUUUUCGUUGGGGGAUGGGCUCGCGGCCUAUCAGCUUGUUGGUGGGGUGAUGGCCUACCAAGGCGGUGACGGGUAGCCGGCAUGAGAGGGUGGACGGUCACAAUGGGACUGAGACACGGACCAGACUCCUACGGGAGGGAGGAGUGGGGAAUAUUGCACAAGGGGGGCAAGCCGGAUGCAGCGACGCCGCGGGAGGGAUGGAGGCCUUCGGGUUGUGAACCUCUUACGCCAGAGAAGCAGGCCUGCUCAUUGUGGGUGGGUUGACGGUAGCUGGAUAAGAAGCGACGGCUAACUACGUG